rnacentral:rRNA from 1 species
UACAGGGGGGGCAAGCGUUGUUCGGAAUUACUGGGCGUAAAGGGCUCGUAGGCGGCCAACUAAGUCAGACGUGAAAUCCCUCGGCUUAACCGGGGAACUGCAUCUGAUACUGGAUGGCUUGAGAUUGGGAGAGGGAUGCGGAAUUCCAGGUGUAGCGGUGAAAUGCGUAGAGAUCCGGAAGAACACCGGUGGCGAAGGCGGCCUGCUGGGCAGUAGCUGACACUGAGGCGCGACAGCGUGGGGAGCAAACAGG